rnacentral:rRNA from 1 species
GCAGUGAGACUGCGGGGGAUAAGCUCCGUAGUCGAGAGGGAAACAGCCCAGACCACCAGCUAAGGUCCCUAAGCGUGUGCUAAGUGGGAAAGGAUGUGGAGUUGCAUUGACAACCAGGAGGUUGGCUUAGAAGCAGCCACCCUUUAAAGAGUGCGUAAUAGCUCACUGGUCGAGUGAUCUUGCGCGGAAAAUUUAACGGGGCUAAGCUUAAUACCGAAGCCAUGGAAACGUGCGGAAGCACGUUUGGUAGGGGAGCGUUCUGUCAGCUGGGAAGGUCAACCGUAAGGAUGGCUGGAGCGGACAGAAGUGAGAAUGCAGACAUGAGUAGCGUAAAACACGUGAGAACCGUGUUCGCCGUAUAUCUAAGGUUUCCGACGCCAGGUCAAUCCGCGUCGGGUUAGUCAGGGCCUUAGUUGAGGCCGAAAGGCGUAAGCGAUGGAUAUCCGGUCAACAUUCCGGAACCACUUAAGAUGAGUGAUGGAGGGACGCAACGAGGUAGACCAGCCUGUGAUUGGUUGUACAGGUGCGCCAUGUGGCAGCCGUUGAGGUUUGUAGGCAAAUCCGCAAACUGAGGUGAGACAUGGCGACGAGCCCCUGAGGCAUAAGUGAGUUAAGCCUUGUUGCCGAGAAAAGCUUCUAAACGUUGAUUCUUGAGUGCCUGUACCGCAAACCGACACUGGUAGAUGGGUAGAGUAUACCAAGGCGAACGGGAGAACCUUUGUUAAGGAAUUAGGCAAAUUGGCCUCGUAACUUCGGGAUAAGAGGUGCCCUCUGGUGUGAAUGAAUAAUGAGCGCCGGGGGGUCGCAGUGAAAUGGUUCUAGGGACUGGUUAACAAAACCACAGGUCUCUGCAAAGCCGUAAGGCGAUGUAUAGGGGCUGACACCUGCCCAGUGCCGGAAGGUUAAAGGGAGAGGUUAGGCGCAAGCCGAAGCUUUGAACUGAAGCCCCGGUGAACGGCGGCCGUAACUAUAACGGUCCUAAGGUAGCGAAAUUCCUUGUCGGGUAAGUUCCGACCCGCACGAAAGGUGUAACAACUAGAACACUGUCUCGACGAGGGACCCGGCGAAAUUGAAAUGGCUGUGAAGAUGCGGCCUACCCGCAGUAGGACAAAAAGACCCCGUGGAGCUUUACUGCAACUUGGCAUUGAGUUUGGAUUUCAUUUGUGUAGGAUAGGUGGGAGGCUAUGAAACUAGGGCGCCAGCCUUGGUGGAGCCGCCGGUGAAAUACCACCCUGAUGAACUCUAGACCCUAACCCCAAUCCGUCAUCCGGAUGGAGGACCGUGCCAGGUGGGCAGUUUGACUGGGGCGGUCGCCUCCUAAAGAGUAACGGAGGCGCCCAAAGGUUCCCUCAGGCUGAAUGGAAACCAGCCAGAGAGUGUAAAGGCAUAAGGGAGCUUAACUGCAAGGCCAACGCGCCGAGCAGAGACGAAAGUCGGGCUUAGUGAUCCCACGGUUCCGAGUGGAAGGGCCGUGGCUCAUCGGAUAAAAGCUACCCCGGGGAUAACAGGCUAGUCAGGUCCAAGAGU